rnacentral:sRNA from 1 species
GGUUAACUGCGAGGAGGUGACUAUGAGACUGACGCAACAGUUCAAUGUCGUCAUGAUCUGUGCCGCGUUCGCUUUCAUCGGGGGCAUGCUCUUCAUCUGAAGGGACAUUCGCCUGAAGGGACUAGGGCUCGAAAGCGCCUUCAUUACGUAGACCCAGCAAGAAUAGGAAAAGGGGAUCGUCUCGUCGGCGAUCCCCUUU